AGCUUUGAAGAAGCUGCUGUCAAGCUGUUUUUUCAUCCUCAGUGGGAGAAACCGAUCUUAUCUGAUAAUGGAGAAAGCUGGGGAGAGAGCUUCCCAUUUUCAUCGCUGCCCGUCAUCAGCCUCUCUUAUCUUCUCGCACACUAUACUCAAAUGUAUCGUUAAGUUUUUAUCUUAGGGCUUGUCUACUCUUACCAAAGGAUCAAUGCUGCGGUGAUGGAUGCAUCGGCGGUCUAUUUAGCGGGUAGUGAAGACCCACUAAAUCGUCCGCCAAUCUCUCUCCCGUCGACUCCUGCACUCCACCUGAUCGAGAAGACUAAGGCUCUCCUGUCGACAUCGCAUAGUGUGGAUCCCUCGCAAACAGAUAGGACCUGCUGUCCAAGAAGGAGUCACAAUCCUUGUGAAAAAGGGUUGGAAGGACUGACACCUACCAGACUCUUGUGCUUGAGUUGGGGUCAUUGAUAAAAGUAUUAAAUAGCGUAUGGCCAAGAACCAAUCCCUGAAAAGAUCCUCUGGUCAGGAGGGAAACAGAAGUGAGUCUCUGCACAAGAGAGGUGAUGGCUGAGGAGCCAGGAGCCUACAGUGGAUGCCCUUAAUGGACCAGGGAGGAAGGAGAAGCAGGGGUAGAGGGCAUACAAUUGCAGUUGCCCUGAACCAUGACAGGAAGGUAGAAGAAAAAAAUUCACAAAGCCAUUUACUGAACAUAUUUGGAGAACUUAACAGACUCAGACUUUAAGGCCUGAAGGGACCAUCAUGAUCAUCUACAGUGGAUGUUGCUGCUCAAACAGUAUGGAUAAAGUAAUGGAACAGUGUGACUUAAAAAAACCCCUGAAGUUCUGAAAUUUCACUCAAGCACCCAAAGCCAGCCAACACCACCAUUUAUUUACAAUCAAUAGAAUAAGGGCCACAUUUUCAGCUGGUGUAAAUCAGCAUAGCCCCACUGACUUAAACAAUUAGUUAUUAAAUCAUACAACAAGCCAUAUGCCACACAAUUUCUGAAGGAUUUUCAAUUAGCAAAUUUUCUACAGAUUGCAUUCUGUGAAAACAGUGCUAUUGACUACGCUACAAACAGUAAAAGAACAGCAUCCAAAAAUAAAACCUGCUGAUCAAUAAGUAGGUCAACUACCAACAACCAUCAUUCUCUUCCCUCUUCCUCUUACCUUAGAUGUGUCACAAUUUCAGUUCCCCUCUUCCAAAGUAUAUUUAAGAUAUUGCCAACCUUAUUUUAAAUCUGCUGAAGAGAAUAAUCUAGGUACUAUCUGAAUGCACCAAUCAUUUCUGCAUUAAGUAUUCUUGCCAAUACUGUUCCAGAAUAAGCUGAUUUCACCAAAAACAAUUACCUCCAGAUUGUUUACAUCUGGGCUGAAUCAUAAAAGCAACAGAAGGUACAACAUCAGUGAGCUUGGUAAUUAGGUUUGCAAGACUCAGGGAUUGUCUACAUGAACAUUGUGGCAAGCUGGGAUGUGAAUCUACCCCAUGCUAGUUUGCUGCAGACUAACUGU